AUCCAACUGAACAGUUCCAAAUAGGACGAGACGCGCGUCCUGGAU
rfam:Schistosoma mansoni strain Puerto Rico chromosome W, complete genome